rnacentral:lncRNA from 1 species
UUCGUCAUUAUGAUUGUGUUGUGCAAAUUCAAUUUGAGCAUCAUGAAAAGAUCACAUUCUUGAAGUUUGUUGUACAUUGUGGUGACAAUGACAUGUGAAGAUGUGCCCAUGAUAGACUCACUCAUAAUGCAGUAUGGGGGAUCAAUCUACUAGUCUUCACCGAACCAGCGCAAUAAAAAAAGGUGGUCCAACUUAAAAAAGUCAAGAUGAUCAUCAUCUAGCUCAAGUGGCAACAGGAGCACUGACAAAAGGAACAAGUGCCACCACCUACGGCAGGAGCUCCGACGAAAGGAGCAAGUGCCACCACCUAUCUAUCACUCCAUAUCCUCUCUUAUUCUUUACUUUUGUUGUUAAUAUGGAAGGCAUGGGGUAGGAUCUUCAUGCACUGCAAAGUGAUGAUUAUUUAUUUAGCAAAAAAUAAGGAGUACUAUAUACUAUUUAUGGUGUAGUAGUUUUCACAUAAUUUUGUACAUAUGCAUUGAAGUUAUGUAUUCGAACCACCGGGUCUAUGAUCCUAGAUCCCACGCUAGCCCAUAACAACCUAGGGGCUCUUUGGUGGUUUUUUCAUAAUUACAAGCGCACAUAGUUUAGUUAUAUUUUUUUAAAUGAGAGUAUCCAUCCCACAUGAAGCAAUGGAGCAUAAGAAAUGAUCCUUGCCUUUCGGUGAGGAUUACUAUAAUGUGCCUGCAAGUUAGGUGUGGUCCAAAGCAAAAAAGCACACAACUAAAUAUUGCAAGAGUUUUGUAACUGAAUUUAAGUUUAAGUAAAGUAAAUGAAUAAGAGCAUAAUGGGAAUAACAAAAUCUACAAGAGGGCUAAAGCGUUCUCAACGAAAAUGGAUCCAUCGCUAGUAUGUGUCUAUGUAAAUAUUCUAAUGCGUAAUUCUAGGUU